rnacentral:rRNA from 1 species
GACGAACGCUGGCGGCGUGCUUAACACAUGCAAGUCGAACGGUGAAGCGCCUUCCUUUUUGGUGGGUGUGGAUGAGUGGCGAACGGGUGAGUAACACGUGAGUAACCUGCCCCCUUCUUCUGGAUAACCGCAUGAAAGUGUGGCUAAUACGGGAUAUUCUGGGUCUGUCGCAUGAUGGGUCUGGGAAAGAUAUUGUUUCGGUGGGGGAUGGGCUCGCGGCCUAUCAGCUUGUUGGUGGGGUGAUGGCCUACCAAGGCGGUGACGGGUAGCCGGCCUGAGAGGGUGGACGGUCACACUGGGACUGAGACACGGGCAAGACUCCGACGGGCGGCAGCAGUGGGGAAUAUUGCACAAUGGGCGCAAGCCUGAUGCAGCGACGCCGCGUGAGGGAUGGAGGCCUUCGGGUUGUGAACCUCUUUCGCCAGUGAAGCAGGCCUGCCUCGUUUGUGGGUGGGUUGACGGUAGCUGGAUAAGAAGCGCCGGCUAACUACGUG